rnacentral:RNase_P_RNA from 1 species
UGAGCUUAACAGAUGACUGCCCCGCGUAGUUUUAUGCGAAGUGGGGAGGAAAGUCCGGACACCCGAUCAACAGUAAUGUUGAUUUGACAAAGAGAGUCGCUAACGACGACCGGGAUAUAGUCCCGCCUUUGGCGGGGUAAACCCAGGGAAAGUGUUCCGCAAGGAACCACCCGAAGCUUUACGCAUAGGGUGGCCACAGAGACUAUACUGUCCUCUAAUGCUUUACGCGUAAGAGGAUCAAAGUGAAAAGUGAAAUGGUGUGGCCGUCUCCCCCGUAGCCUCGGCGAAGGGGAGCAACGCUCUGCUGCAUUUCUCUGCUCGUGGUGACACGAUGCAGUGGUAAACCCUCUCUGGUGCAAGAGCAAGCGUGAUAAACCUCAUUUGGUACUUCACACUGGUCGCUCGCAAGAUCCUGCAAGCAAUUGCAGGGCUAGAUAGAUAGUCAUCGCCCCACAGAACAUCCUGGGAAAUGUUAUGCGGGGUACAAAAUUCGGCUUAUCGUUUCGCUCAAAUC